rnacentral:rRNA from 1 species
GCGAACGUUAGCGGCGGGCCUAACACAUGCAAGUCGAACGGUAACAGGCCUUCGGGCGCUGACGAGUGGCGAACGGGUGAGUAAUGCAACCGAACGGGCCCCGGCGCGGGGGAACACGCAGCGAAGGCCGGGCUAAGAACGCAAACCAUACGCGGAUGAAAGAGGGGGACCGUCGGGCCUCGGCCGAUGGGAACGGCCGCUGUCAGAUUAGGUAGGUGGUGGGGUAAAGGCUCACCAAGCCAACGAUCUGUAGCUGGGCUGAGAGGACGACCAGCCACACUGGGACUGAGACACGGCCCAGACUCCUACGGGAGGCAGCAGUGGGGAAUUUUGGACAAUGGGCGCAAGCCUGAUCCAGCAAUGCCGCGUGCAGGAAGAAGGCCUUCGGGUUGUAAACUGCUUUUGUACGGAGCGAAAAGGCUCCCUCUAAUACAGGGGGAUCAUGACGGUACCGUAAGAAUAAGCACCGGCUAACUACGUGCCAGCCGCCGCCGUAAAAC